GGGGCCGUAGCUCAGUUGGGAGAGCGCAGCAAUCGCACUGCUGAGGUCAGGGGUUCGAUCCCCCUCGGCUCCACCA
rnacentral:tRNA from 1 species